AGUGUAGAUUCAGAGUUUGAUCCUGGCUCAGGAUGAACGCUGGCGGCGUGCAUAACACAUUCAAGUCGAACGGUGAAGUUCCUUCGGGAACGGAACAGUGGCGGACGGGUGAGUAACGCGUGAGCAACCUGCCUGGCAUAGAGGGAUAACACAGGGAAACUUGUGCUAAUACCACAUGAUGUAUACGGACCGCAUGGUCUGUAUACCAAAGGGAAACCGAUGUCAGAUGGGCUCGCGUAUGAUUAGACAGUUGGCAGGGUAACGGCCUACCAAAUCUACGAUCAUUAGCCGAACUGAGAGGUUGAACGGCCACAUUGGAACUGAGAAACGGUCCAG
rnacentral:rRNA from 1 species